GUCUACAGCCACACCACCCUGAACGGGCCGAUCUCAUCUGAUCUCGGAAGCUGGGCGGGGUCGGGCCUGGUUAGUACUUGGAUGGGAGGAUGCUCAACCUGUGUCCGAAUUACAUUGAAUAUAAAUUAACUUUUGAUU
rnacentral:rRNA from 1 species